rnacentral:rRNA from 1 species
AAGGUUCUUUCGGGGACUGGAGAGCGGCGGACGGGUUAGUAACGCGUGGGAACGUGCCCUAAAGUCUGGGAUAACUAUUAGAAAUGAUAGCUAAUACCGGAUGGUCCCUUCGGGGUAAAGCUUUAGCGCUUUAGGAUCGGCCCGCGUUAGAUUAGGUAGUUGGUGAGGUAAUGGCUCACCAAGCCUACGAUCUAUAGCUGGUUUGAGAGGAUGAUCAGCAACACUGGAACUGAGACACGGUCCAG